AGCAGCCGCGGUAAUUCCAGCUCCAAUAGCGUAUAUUAAAGUUGUUGCAGUUAAAAAGCUCAUAGUUGAAUUUCGGGAUUCUACCGUCGGUCGGACUACUAAGUCUGUACUGGUGUGUAGAAUUCCUACCUUCUGGGGAACCAUCAUGUUAUUAAUUUAGUGUGGUGGGAAACCAGAACCUUUACCUUGAAAAAAUUAGAGUGUUCAAAGCAGGCUUAUGUCUGAAUACAUUAGCAUAGAAUAAUAGAAUAGGACAGUGGUCCUGUUUUGUUAGUUUCUGAAUCACCGUAAUGAUUAAUAGGGAUAGUUGGAGGCAUUAGUAUUCAAUUAUCAGAGGUAAAAUUCUUGGAUUUAUUGAAGACUAACUUCUGCGAAAGCAUUUGCCAAGGAUGUUUUCAUUAAUCAAGAAUGAAAGUUAGGGGAUCGAAGACGAUCAGAUACCAUCAUAGUCUUAACCAUAAACUAUGCCGACUAGGGAUCGGACGAUGUUAAAUUUUAUUUGACUCAUUUGGU
rnacentral:rRNA from 1 species